AGCGAACGCUGGCGGCAGGCCUAACACAUGCAAGUCGAACGGACCUUUCGGGGUUAGUGGCGGACGGGUGAGUAACACGUGGGAACGUGCCUUUAGGUUCGGAAUAGCUCCUGGAAACGGGUGGUAAUGCCGAAUGUGCCCUUAGGGGGAAAGAUUUAUCGCCUUUAGAGCGGCCCGCGUCUGAUUAGCUAGUUGGUGAGGUAAUGGCUCACCAAGGCUACGAUCAGUAGCUGGUCUGAGAGGAUGACCAGCCACAUUGGGACUGAGACACGGCCCAAACUCCUACGGGAGGCAGCGGUGGGGAAUCUUGCGCAAUGGGCGAAAGCCUGACGCAGCCAUGCCGCGUGGAUGUUGAAGGUCUUAGGAUUGUAAAAUCCUUUCACCGGUGAAGAUAAUGACUGUAGCCGGAGAAGAAGCCCCGGCUAACUUCGUGCCAGCAGCCGCCGUAA
rnacentral:rRNA from 1 species